rnacentral:rRNA from 1 species
UUGUUUGUUUUUUUGAGCGUUCGGUGGAUGCCUUGGCAUCAGGGGCCGAUGAAGGACGUGGUGGCCUGCGAUAUUCCUCGGGGAGCCGGCUGGCGGGCUGUGAUCCGAGGGUUUCCGAAUGGGGGGACCCGGCACGAGUUAUGUCGUGUCACCUGCAUCUGAAUUGUAUAGGGUGUGGGGGGUGACGCGGGGAAGUGAAACAUCUCAGUACCCGUAGGAGAAGAUAUUCCGUGAGUAGUGGCGAGCGAAAGCGGAUGAUGGUUAAACCGUGUGCGUGUGAUACUCGGCAGGGGUUGCGUGUGCGGGGUUGUGGGGCUGUCCUGUUCC